GGCUGCAGAGCAGCCUGAAGCAGGGUCCCACGUGCCUGGACUGGCCCCAAGGCUGCAGGCACCCUUGCCACCGCCGCCGCCACCUCCCAGUUCUUCAGCCCCUGUGGCGGGGCCCAGGCCAACCUGAGGGAGUUGUUGGCCUGACGCUGUCGGCAGCUAGGAGUCUGAAUGCCAUCGACCACGGAAGAAGCAGCAUCUGUAGGUCGACUCCGGGACUUCCAGAAAUGAAAGGAAAGCAUGUGCUGUUUCUCGUGGAGCCUUGUCCCUUUCCUGGAUGGGAUGAACUCAGUGAUUGCCUACCUGAUCUCAGCUCUUGAGCAAUUAACAGUGACUAAUAUCACCAGCAUUAACCCAUGCGAAGCAAGCAUACUUGCUAGACUAGGCAAGCAUAUUAAAAAGCAGAGACAUUACUUUGCCAACAAAGGUCCG